rnacentral:lncRNA from 1 species
UGGUCUGGGGGAUGAUCAAUCCUCAAAAACUGUUGUGCUUGCCUGGGAGGUGGGGUGGGAGCACAAACCUGCUCCUCAUGGCUGCUCCUCUGGCCCCAGCAGGAAAGCCGGGGAGGAUCCCGCGGCGCUGGCCCCGCUCUUCGGGCCCCCGCUGGAGUCGGCCUUCGAGGAGCACAAGCUGGACGCUGCUCUGGACCAGCCUGAGAUAUGGGGGUCAGUCCAGCCCAUCAACACAAACGUCGAGUCCCCAAAACUUCCGAGACCUUUUCCAACUGGAACCCCGCCGCCGCUGCCCCCGAAGAACGUCCCGGCCACGCCGCCGCGCACCGGCUCCCCCCUGCCCCCGGCCAUCGGUAACCGGGAGGGGACCGGGGGGACGGGCAGCCCCGGCCGGGGUGGGACAGGGCCAGCCCCAGCCCUGGGAUGGCACUGGGAAAUGGAUAGGGACAUUCCCAGCUCUGGGAUGGCACUGGGAAGGGGACAGGGCCAGUCCCAGCCCUGGGAAGGGGACAGGGACAUCCCCAGCUCUGGGAUGGCACUGGGAAGGGGACA